rnacentral:rRNA from 1 species
AUGAACGCUAGCUACAGGCUUAACACAUGCAAGUCGAGGGGCAGCAUGGUCUUAGCUUGCUAAGACUGAUGGCGACCGGCGCACGGGUGAGUAACACGUAUCCAACCUGCCGUCUACUCUUGGACAGCCUUCUGAAAGGAAGAUUAAUACAAGAUGGCAUCAUGAGUCCGCAUGUUCACAUGAUUAAAGGUAUUCCGGUAGACGAUGGGGAUGCGUUCCAUUAGAUAGUAGGCGGGGUAACGGCCCACCUAGUCUUCGAUGGAUAGAGGUUCUGAGAGGAAGGUCCCCCACAUUGGAACUGAGACACGGUCCAAACUCCUACGGGAGGCAGCAGUGAGGAAUAUUGGUCAAUGGGCGAGAGCCUGAACCAGCCAAGUAGCGUGAAGGAUGACUGCCCUAUGGGUUGUAAACUUCUUUUAUAAAGGAAUAAAGUCGGGUAUGGAUACCCGUUUGCAUGUACUUUAUGAAUAAGGAUCGGCUAACUCCGUGCCAGCAGCCGCGGUAAUACGGAGGAUCCGAGCGUUAUCCGGAUUUAUUGGGUUUAAAGGGAGCGUAGAUGGAUGUUUAAGUCAGUUGUGAAAGUUUGCGGCUCAACCGUAAAAUUGCAGUUGAUACUGGAUAUCUUGAGUGCAGUUGAGGCAGGCGGAAUUCGUGGUGUAGCGGUGAAAUGCUUAGAUAUCACGAAGAACUCCGAUUGCGAAGGCAGCCUGCUAAGCUGCAACUGACAUUGAGGCUCGAAAGUGUGGGUAUCAAACAGGAUUAGAUACCCUGGUAGUCCACACGGUAAACGAUGAAUACUCGCUGUUUGCGAUAUACUGCAAGCGGCCAAGCGAAAGCGUUAAGUAUUCCACCUGGGGAGUACGCCGGCAACGGUGAAACUCAAAGGAAUUGACGGGGGCCCGCACAAGCGGAGGAACAUGUGGUUUAAUUCGAUGAUACGCGAGGAACCUUACCCGGGCUUAAAUUGCAGAUGAAUUACGGUGAAAGCCGUAAGCCGCAAGGCAUCUGUGAAGGUGCUGCAUGGUUGUCGUCAGCUCGUGUCGUGAGAUGUUGGGUUAAGUCCCGCAACGAGCGCAACCCUUAUGGUCAGUUACUACGUAAGAGGACUCUGGCCAGACUGCCGUUGACAAAACGGAGGAAGGUGGGGAUGACGUCAAAUCAGCACGGCCCUUACGUCCGGGGCUACACACGUGUUACAAUGGGGGGUACAGAGGGCCGCUACCACGCGAGUGGAUGCCAAUCCCCAAAACCUCUCUCAGUUCGGACUGGAGUCUGCAACCCGACUCCACGAAGCUGGAUUCGCUAGUAAUCGCGCAUCAGCCACGGCGCGGUGAAUACGUUCCCGGGCCUUGUACACACCGCCCGUCAAGCCAUGGGAGCCGGGGGUACCUGAAGUGCGUAACCGCGAGGAGCGCCCUAGGGUAAAACUGGUGACUGGGGCU